AGCACCUCAAGUGGUCAGGAUGAUUAUUGGGCCUAAAGCAUCCGUAGCCUGCUCUGUAAGUUUUCGGUUAAAUCUGUAUGCUCAACAUACAGGCUGCCGGGAAUACUGCAGAGCUAGGGAGUGGGAGAGGUAGACGGUACUCGGGAGGAAGUGGUAAAAUGCUUUGAUCUCUCGAUGACCACCUGUGGCGAAGGCGGUCUACCAGAACACGUCCGACGGUGAGGGAUGAAAGCUGGGGGAGCAAACCGG
rnacentral:rRNA from 1 species